AGAGAGAGCGAGAGGAGGAGGAUGAGAGGAAGAGGAGGAGAGCACUGAAGACGUCUGCUUACAAAUUUAUGUGACCCAUGGUCUUCACAAAUGGUUGGAUACAGACAUUGAUAAUUGUCCCAGUUAUCUCCCAACGGAUCCAGGAACUUCGGCUUCUAUCUCUCUCACUCUUACUUUCUCUCUCGCUCUGUGGCUGAGAUGAAGCCUUGGAGACACUGGCCAGAUCAGAUAACAUACACACGCACACACACACUACGAGAACCUAUUCAAAUCAGUGUGUAGUGGAUGAAUAGUAUCAGGUAGACAUGUUAACACUGAUAACCCUGCAGACAAACAAACACAAAAAGCUGGC
rnacentral:lncRNA from 1 species